AGAACAUCAAACAAUAAAUUCUUCCUUAGAACAACCUCCCAAACCACCAGAUGAUCCUUCCUACAAAGUUAAAUUACUAUCUAAUGAAGUCAUCCUGGACAUGGAUAUGGCAGAUAACAUUUUAUCCCAACCCAAUCCAAUGGAAUCUAGCCCAGUUCCCAGCCUCUUCCCUAUUAUUGAUGGCAUUACAACGAUUACUCUUUUCCAAGAAGAUAACUUCAGAAUCUAUGCACCGUGGAAGUACUCUCUUAUUAUCAAGUCGAUAGGCAUUCACAUUCCCUAUCAAUCCCUUCGAACCAAAUUAUAACAAAAAUGAAAAAUCAUGGAACAAACUCCCCUGAUCGAUUUAGGGGCGGAUUAUUACAUACUCAAAUUCUCCAAGUUAGAAGAUAUGAACACUGUCCUUAACAAUGGACCCUGGUUCAUAUAUGGUCACUACCUCUCUAUUCAGAAGUGGGUUCCAAAUUUUAUCCCAGAAAGAGCAGUUCUUUCGGCAUCGGCUAUUUGGAUUUGUCUUCCCUAUAACACUAUACUACUUUAAAAAGUUGGUAACUCCAUCAUUGGUAAGCUGCUGAAAAUUGAUGCAUGCACUAGCUCAACUUUACGAGGAAGAUAUGCGAGGCUAUGCAUACAAAUGUCAUUUGCAGACUCGAUUCCUUCCUAAAUUCAGAUCGAAACUCACCUGCAAAACAUUGUAUAUGAGGCCGAUGAUUUUCUCUGUAAAAACUGUGGAAGAUUAGGCCAUAUCCAAAGAACUUGUCAUUAUCAUAAUGAACAAAGUAAGAAGGGUACUCCUAUCCCCCCAUGCAGAAAAAGUUAUUCAAGAUUUACCUUCACAAGAUUCAAGUGUAGUUGAGUGGCACACAGUUCAAUUCCCAAGGAGAAAAAAGAAGGCUACAAAAGGUAAAAAUGUUGCAGACAAGGUAAUAACUUGUAAUACCCCACAAAGUUCUCUCGUAGUCUGAGCUUUAUAGCGUGCCAAGUGAAGUGUAAUUUCGGUCUUAAAAGGUCGAGAAGAGACUUUCAAAGUGAAAAAUAUUUUAAACCAUGUCGAAUUUCUCUAAUAUUGUCUUUUUUCCAUGUAGAGAAUUGAAUAAGCUUUUCGUCGAUACCAAAUUCGUCUAAAUCCGACACUCGGGCGAAGAGUUAGAGCCAUUUUAGUGAGACAAUGUGCCACCUGACACUUUAGCGCAUCGCGGAGCCAGCCAAAAUGGCAAUUGUCAAAUUCUAGUGAGCCUCCAUGAUUCCAUCGUGUCGUGGUGUCUUUCUAGUUCGCAACCAAGGUGGCAACGCGAUUUUUACCGCGUCGCGCUAAGGCUCAGUUUCCCAAUUGUCCAAUUUCCAGUAAGCUGGUGCGAUUAUGGCGCGUCGCGCCAGCACUUAAAAUUGGGAUUUUUUCAGUUAUGAAUUUUAAUUCCAAAGGCAAAAAGGGUCUUUGUCCAACCCCUAUAUAUACUCUUUAACAUAAGAUUCAGCAUAUUUACACCCAAAUAUUAUUGGUUUCUCUCAAUUUUCUUCAAGAACAAGACCUUGGGUUUCUAAUCCAAGACCCAAAUCAUCAAGGUUUCACAGUGAAUCUUUCAAGAAUUACAUAGCAAGGAAAUUCUGGGGGUUUGGUUGUUAUGUGGUACUCUCACCUUCUUAAUGUAACCCGUAAACAACGCAUUGACCAAGAGAUUCACGCCAUGAUCCAGGUUGUUGUUGAAGAGGCUGGGGAAUCCUGUGCUCCGCCAUAAUUUCAGACAAGCAAAUUCAGCAGCUGACCUGCUGUGCAGAUUACGAGCCCAAAAAAUCCAGGCACAGUGGACUUUUUGUUAUCACCACCAACCCAAGCUAUCUCUCUCCUGGAAGCUGAUCGUUGGAAUGUGUUAUCUAUUAGACUCUUUCUAGUUUAAGUUGUUUUAACUUAGUGAAGUUUGGUAACCUCUCUGUAAUCAAAAGUGCUGCUGACACUUUGAACACACCUAUGUUUUGCUCUAUCUAGUAUUUAUGAAAUAAUCCCUCUUAUCCAAAAAAAAAAAAAAAAAAAAAAAAUUAUAACUCCUUAAUAGUUAAAUGACAUUUAUUAUUUAUUAUUUAACCACUAUCAGUUUU